AGGACGAACGCUGGCGGCGUGCUUAACACAUGCAAGUCGAGCGAGGCCCUUCCUUCGGGAAGGUGCCCUAGCGGCGAACGGGUGAGUAACACGUGGGCAACCUGCCCCUAGCACUGGGAUAACUCCGGGAAACCGGGGCUAAUACCGGAUAUGACCUUCUUGGGCAUCCUCGAAGGUGUAAAGGAUUCUGGCUAGGGAUGGGCCCGCGGCCUAUCAGCUUGUUGGUGGGGUAAUAGCCUACCAAGGCGACGACGGGUAGCCGGCCUGAGAGGGUGACCGGCCACACUGGGACUGAGACACGGCCCAGACUCCUACGGGAGGCAGCAGUGGGGAAUCUUGCACAAUGGGCGAAAGCCUGAUGCGGCGACGCCGCGUGAGGGAUGACUGCCUUCGGGUUGUAAACCUCUUUCAGCAGGGACGAAGCGAAAGUGACGGUACCGCAGAAGAGCACCGGCCAACUACGCGCCAGCAGCCGC
rnacentral:rRNA from 1 species